rnacentral:tRNA from 1 species
GACCACGUAGCUCAGUUGGCAGAGCAUUGGGCUAGCAUUCCAACGGUCGUAGGUUCGAUUCCCACCGUGGUCA